GAAUCAAAACAAUUUAACGGAAGCAAUGCCACAGUUGGCUGAUCUGUCAUCAAACAGUUGCUAAUUGCCAGUAUUUCAACAAGAUUGAGAUGCUAGCUUCCAAGAUCAAGUUAUGUUUUUUGGACAGGAUAGGAAGUCCGUUGUCUGUGUGCUCUUAACGAGAGUGAUGGACUUGGGAUGUCGAAAGAUAGUCUACAUUU
rnacentral:snoRNA from 1 species